GAAAAAUAAAAGAAGAAUACAAAAUAAACACACACGUGUAGAGUUAAAGUCUUGCUGUUCAUUUUUUGUCAUUACUUUCAGAAAGUUUACUGCUUAUGACGUCACAAUAGUGGUGUAAAACAACCUAAAAUACUGUAUCGGAAAAAAUUCACCCAUACUAAAAAUCUAAAAACGAGGGCGAUUACAAAUUGCAUACGGACACUUUGUAUAACCCGCAGAGGGUUUUGAACGAAGAAUAAAAUAACAAAAAGAAAAGGGAAAGGGAAAAUUACAGCUUAAAAAAAAUAUAUAUCAGCUUAUAAACUAAGAAGCAAACAAAUCAAACAGCUGUACUUGAAACACUUGUAAAAAAAGAAAGGAAGUAAAUCAAUAGGUGCUAAAAGUUUAAUACCCCCCCCCCCCCUCUCCGUCCGCCUCCAUAACGACCGGGACCAAAGGCUCCUUACAGCCAGCUGUGGACCUUCACGGCCUCCGUCUGGCUCAACUUCCCUCAGAAGCCUCCUCCUCUUGACCGACACCUGUCGGCCUCGCCCAGCCGGCCCGCGGGUCGUGCCGCCCGGGCCACGUAUUCGCGUGGCGAUGGACGUCUCUGUAAUUGCGACACGUGAGCCCAUCUGGUUGGAAUCUUGGCGCCGCGGUCCGAGCAGCACACGCCAACUCCUCUCUCACCGGCGAGUGACACCGAUGACGGAUCCGCUGUCGCCCGCGUGGCCAACGUAUCCAGCACAUGACUGGCAGCCCGACGCACCGUUUUCUUUCGUCUGUUCGCGGCGGGGACGAGCCAACUGCCUCCAACCUGCUCCUCUCCACUCGGCUUGGCUUCAGUCGGGGAAAAGAAGUGUACAGUGAUGUGGUGAUGCAAACGGACGUGUUCCCAUGAAGCUCCAUGGAGAGGACUCGG